AGCAGAAAGAGCACGGCCAAUCCUCCUGGCAACACAGCAUGGCGAGGAUGGAAGCUUGGAGUGUCUGGAAACAGAAACUGUAGCUAAAGACUUCCAAGAGGAGCAACGUGGCGCGCAACUGUUGAGCCUUGAUAUUUCGAGGGACAGCGAAUGUUCCAUUUGUUCCUGACACAGACCUGUUGCUAAGUGUCCGUUGAGGUUUCCCACUGGAGGACAGUAGAAGCAAAGCAUAUUGACCACUACCUGCCUGAUGAGCCUUGACCCAAUUGGAGAAGUCCAUGGUGCUGUUGGGAGUCAUCCCUGAAACUUGUCAACAAAGCAGACAGAGGUUGCAGAUCUAGUGCAGAACCAUGAAGGCAGCUUAAGAUGGAUGCGACUAUUGGGAAGAAGUACGGAGGCAGCUCUUUUUCCAACUCCUUUGCCCGUGCCAGUGCCACUACCCGUUCUCAGUGUGACUGUGGUCUCGAAAAAUGAAUUUGGCAGUUGUAGUCUCCCCUCCCCCAGCCUGAAACCUGCUUGCUCGGGGUGGAGCUU